rnacentral:rRNA from 1 species
CAAUAGCGUAUAUUAAAGUUGUUGCAGUUAAAAAGCUCGUAGUUGGAUUUCUGGCUGGAGCGAUCGGUCCGCCCCGCAAGGGGUGUGUACUAGCGUCGUCUCCGACCAUCCUUGUGGGAACUGUGCGGCCGUUAACUCGGUUGUAUAUGGGAACACAUCGUUUACUGUGAAAAAUUAGAGUGUUUAAAGCAGGCUUAAGCCGUUGAAUACAUUAGCAUGGAAUAAUAAUAUAGGACUUUGGUUCUAUUUUGUUGGUUUCUAGGACUAAAGUAAUGAUUGAUAGGGAUAGUUGGGGGUGCUAGUAUUCAGCGGCCAGAGGUGAAAUUCUUGGAUUCGCUGAAGACUAACUUAUGCGAAAGCAUUCACCAAGGAUGUCUUCUUUAAUCAAGAACGAAAGUUGGGGGAUCGAAGACGAUUAGAUACCAU